rnacentral:rRNA from 1 species
UACAGGGGGUGCAAACGUUGCUCGGAAUCAUUGGGCGUAAAGCGCACGUAGGCGGUUCGUUAUGUCGGAUGUGAAAGCCCUUGGCUUAACCGAGGAAGUGCAUCCGAAACUGGCGAGCUAGAGUACUAAAGAGGAUCGCGGAAUUCCCGGUGUAGAGGUGAAAUUCGUAGAUAUUCGCAAGAACACCGGUGGCGAAGGCGGCCAACUGGACCAUUACUGACGCUGAGGCGCGAAAGCGUGGGGAGCAAACAGG